rnacentral:rRNA from 1 species
GAUGAACGCCGUCUACAGGCUUAACACAUGCAAGUCGAGGGGAAACGACGGGGAAGCUUGCUUCCCCGGGCGUCGACCGGCGCACGGGUGAGUAACGCGUAUCCAACCUGCCUCUGACUGAGGGAUAACCCGUCGAAAGUCGGCCUAAUACCUCAUGGCAUCGUCUGCGGGCAUCCAACGACGAUUAAAGAUUUCAUCGGUCAGGGAUGGGGAUGCGUCUGAUUAGCUUGUUGGCGGGGUAACGGCCCACCAAGGCUACGAUCAGUAGGGGUUCUGAGAGGAAGGUCCCCCACAUUGGAACUGAGACACGGUCCAAACUCCUACGGGAGGCAGCAGUGAGGAAUAUUGGUCAAUGGGCGGGAGCCUGAACCAGCCAAGUAGCGUGCAGGAUGACGGCCCUAUGGGUUGUAAACUGCUUUUAUGCGGGGAUAAAGUGAGGGACGUGUCCUUCAUUGCAGGUACCGCAUGAAUAAGGACCGGCUAAUUCCGUG